UUUAUACUGAUUACAAAAACAAUAUUUAUAUCAAUUGAAACACUAUUCAAUUGGUAACCUUUUAGGAUAAGUUUAUUUAAAGGAUUAAUAAGUUAACCUGUAUUAUAUCUCAAUUUCCGCUAGGUCAAAAAUUAGCAAAAUCAAUGUAUAGGGGCGCAAAACCCUCCCCUUAAAUUAAGACAGUGGCCCAAUAGCAGAAGAGAAGAAAAAACUACAAAAACAAUGAACAAAAAAGAGAAACCAACCGCAAUUGCUAAAUAACAGUUUUCUGACUCUGGGAACGCACACAGAAAUAUUUUUAGGUGCCCAACCUACAACCCCUAUAUAACCAUGAAAAUUUGUGAACCAACACAACAUAUGUGUAUAAAAACAACCUAUAAAAAUCAGUUAAAAAGGG
rnacentral:lncRNA from 1 species